UCCCCCAAGGCGAUAACACUUGCUCUCUUUUCCCAAGACCUUAUAGCAUUCCUAGCAUUUCUCAUUUCUCCUUCCAACAUGCCCCAAUGUGCUUUCAGCAAACAGGUCAAUGGGAAUCUUACCAUCAGCCACAGAACGCAGUGCCAUCGACACAGACACAGAGGUUGUCGGCCUGGUUCAAGGUAUCUUAAGGGCCUCCUGUAAACAAAGACAACAGCCAUCUUAAUAUGCUGCCAACAUAAAAAAAUUAUAGUUAGAACUACAUAAUAUAUUGUGCCUGUCGACUUUCAGUGUAACUAAAGCAAAACAUUCUUAGUCAUAAUUAUAUACGAAGGUGUUUUAAAGAUUGAGAGAUCUCCCAAAAGGUGACUACGUUUUAAUUUCGCCAUUGGACACACGUUUUGUGGUUCUGUAUUUUAACCUGCUCUGAUGGACCGUUGUCAGUGUUUGAAGACCCGAUUGCGUGUGAUUUUUUUUCCACCUACUUAAUUACAAUUGGAAUAUUGCACACGUCAAACAUUUCAGGUCAGGCUUGGGACACACCUGUACAGAACACAAGUGGAAGGGUUUAGGCAGGGUUGAAAACCAUCUAAAGCCGCUUCAAAACCAUUAAAGAGUACAUUGAAGGUUGUGCGAUUAUGAGGUCUGACAGCAGAUGCAAAAAGCAAGCUUUAACAGGUUAUAAUUAAGUGAUCUGUCCAGGCCGGUCAAUGAUAAGACUCCCAGAUAAACAUCACAGAGUUGCUUAGCGAAAAUAACUUGUUCUGUCAGACUGAACCUAAGGGGUGUUUAAGAACACCCAAAGAAGCCUGGUGUCUAUCAGGAUUUCUCUAUUGGUCUACUGUACAUUAUUAAAUUGCCAUUAAUAUUAUUAAUAAGUGCAUUCAGAAGACCACUGGAGUUUUUCUUAACUACCUUAAAUGUAGGCUACAAGAUUUUGUUGCAUGCGUCACAGUCUUCAUCCAAGACCACAUACAUGAGAUAUUAUGUCAUACCAUAAUGCCAUGAGCCACUGCUCCAUGAGUAAAAUGGUGAUGGGUGUGUCUGCAAAAUCUCAAUGUUCCAGGCUGCCCUGCUCAUUCUCUGAACUCUGUCACUCCCCCUCUAUUGUGACGAAGAGUCGCAUAAGACUGAAUACUAAUGAUGGUUUUGCUAAAAGAUAAACAAAACCCUGACACUGGGAUAGUGCAUAUCACAUGUAUGUCAACUAAACGGGUGAGGUGGUUAAAAGAUUAGACUGGUUUACAGUGCCCAUAUAUAUUUUAUUUUCAUAUUCAAAGAAAUAAAAAGAGGUUUUGGGGCAAUUUCUUCUCACUUUAUAUUUUGCACGACCAAACAAAUGAAAGCUUUCUCUCAUCUAUCAUGGAUAACCAAUCAUACUGUUACAGCAUUCUGUCCAAGGUUUGUCUCAUCUUAUUAAACAAAUUUGCAAAAAAUCAAGGAGGUGUGGUUAAAUAACAAUGCUUUGAGAUUUCAACUGCCACCAUCUUGCCCUUUCAGACAAGAGGCAGUUGGGAGGGUAGUUCCCUGGUCAUCACAGUGCCUUUGCGCAGCUACAAUGACAAAGCAAAAGUGUUUAUUUUACAUGCACAGAAAUGAAUCUCACUGAGUCAACAGGAAAACCAUGCUCAAGGGAACUUUUCUAUCUAAAAAGUUAUAUUUGUGGUACAUUUUGUGUAAAUUGGACAAAUCUACAGGUAAAUGUUUCAUUUGACCAAUGUCUAUUUUCUUCUCCAUUUUGUAAGAUUUCAACAAGAAAUAGUAAUGCUAGGAUCAUUUUCUAACAAAUCUGGAAGUAAGUAAUGACAAAAAACUAUGCAGCCAAAUCCAUUCUUUAAACACUCUCUCAUUGGUCAAGACAGGUGAGCGUCAUCAUGACUUGAGGCACUUUGAGGAGGAACCACCAGUCUCGAUCAAGG
ensembl:lncRNA